rnacentral:sRNA from 1 species
GUUGGUUCAUGUGUGAUAUUGUGUCCCCACCCAAGUGCUGGUGUCUGUUAGCCGCAAAAGACGGGCAACUUUUUACGUAGGAAGAGCUCCAACGUCUGAUAAUCUUCCUCAUAUGCCCUGCAUGUGCUAUUUCUUGCCGCACCGAUUUUACAUAAUAAUAGUCUCGUCUUCUUACGAUCCCGAUCUCCCCAUAUGAUUUUCGUCGUCCUACCUACCAUUUCGCCGUUCCGCAGUGUCACAGACGUGUUCGUAGCCCACGCCAUUAACCCAUUUUAGACUAAUACCCCUUCCUGUGGUGCAAUCUCUUUGAAACUUUGCGUACUCGUAUAAGAAGCUUUCGGUUUCAUGAAGAAUAAAAGAACAAGAAGAUAACCGAAUACAAUUAACCAUUUUUUCUCAUAACUGCCGCUUUAAGCUGAGCCAAAACAAAGUUUUUCUGGAUCGGUAUAAAAAUAAAACUGUAGUGUGUGUGCCAGUGUGCGCCUUGGAUCUAUGGUAUGCAUAUCUCUUGACAUUUACGAUUUGUGUAGUUUGGAUUUUUUUAUGAUGUUCAUUAAGGACUUCCGUAUUAAUUGCAACACAAUUCUACUCCAAUAAAAAUAUAACGAAGGUACUAUAAAUUCGGCUUCGUGUACAAAAUAACAUCAUUAAAAAUCAUUAAAUAGUAAAAUAAAGCCAUUAAUGUCA